CUCUCUCUCUCUCUCUCUCUCUCUCGCGGGGCUAAUUAAAAUAAAUAUCCUGCCGUGUGUCAGCACUUAUUCUCCGCUCCAUUCUCCUUGAAAGGUGUAAAUUCUCGAGAGUCCUCGCCGCGGUCGCAAGUCCGGCUAUUAAAAAUAUCAUGUAACGUGAAAAAGCAAGCGUGCGCUCGCAAAAACCAAGCACUCGUCUGCUAUGUCACGUUAUACGUUGCUACUUGAACGUAGCAACAACGUUGCGAUAAUGACACGUAUUAAAUUCGCAUGUGUGCGUCGUAGAGCGAGGACGAGGACGACGAGGAGGAGGAGGAGGAGGAGGAGGAGGAAGAGGAGGAGGAGGAGACGACGACGCCUGUCGGCGACAUCGUCGGCGACAUCGUCGCACGCUCCGUUUCGGCGUCGCGUCGGGAGCAAUUUGGGCAAUGCCGAAUGUGCGUGCGUAUGUGCGUAUGUGUACGCAUGCGUACGUGCGUGAGAUGCUCUCCCCUUCGCUCUCCUCGUCCGUCGUUGAAAUCAAUCGCGAGUGCAUCCGCGUGGCGUGCGAUCGUUCGGACACGAAGGUUGCUCGUAAUGUUUCCUACGAGUUUCAUAACGCGUCCAUUCUGCCCGGAAAAUUCUCCCAUUAAACAACAAACUUUCCCAUCGAACUGGAUGGAUAUGAUCUGAAAGAAUCCGAGAACAAAAACGCAAUUAUAUCCUUUCGCACGCAUCGCGUAUUUUCGCGACCACGGCCGCGGCGACCGACAAGCCGCCGUUGCGCGUUUGAUGGAAAGCGCCUGUGUCGCUCGAUAAGGCCGCAUGCUGAUUGCUGAUUUGUGAUGCGCCGGGGAAAUACUUUUCAAGAUACACGACUGUGCAUGUGAUAAUGCACUGCGCGGAAGUGGCGCGACACGCGUCGAGAGAAAUUUUCGCUCGGCAGCGGGGGGGGGGAGGGGGGACGUUUCUCAUGUGCGAACGGCGUUGACGGCCGAGGCAAUUUGGGAAAUGAGUCGCGUCGGUGCCGCGUAAUAUUCCGCGGGUGAAAUUUCAUUUUCAUUCGAGACUGCCGCUGACGGCUUGAUUUACUUUGUUCUUACUUUUUUUUGCGCGUUAUUGCUCGUUCCUUAAUUUCGCGCAACUGCUCUCGGUUGUGAUGUAAGGUAUGACGUCGACAAAGUCGAGACACAUUUUCUGGACAUUCUCAUUGUUUCUCGGCCUUUGAAUCCAACGAAAAUUUAAACUUUCCAAAUAUACAUGUAACGCAUAUAUUGUGCAUAUAUUCAACAUGUGUACUUACAUGUCCGGUGUUGAAAGUUUAAACGUCCGAAUUUGAAGGCCAUUCUUUUAUGUUUCAUACGUGUAUAAAUAUUUUACUAUAUUAAAAUAGUUUAAGGAGCUUGAAUAUCCAGGUUUGAAGAUGAAAGAAUAAUAAAAGUUCAGAAUCGGGCACCGUAAAAUCAUACGUUUCAGAAUACGUGAAAUACCUGGACGAAUAUAGAGCCACGAAUAUCCAAUUGUUUUACAUAUCUAUACCGAGCGACGUUAGUUAUCAAUAGCGCAUUAGCGGAACAUUAGCCUCGAACGGCCAUCGUAAAUGAGGAGCGACGUUUGAACAUAUUGACACUAAUCUGUCUCCAUUAACCCGCUCCACAUCGAGAACCUUCCCCUUUUGUUCUCUCGAUCAUAUUUUCAGUUUCACGUUAUCGUAAGUCUCCCUCCUUCCCUUCCUCGUUCUCGAGCCUCUCGUCCCAUUGCGAGAUAUAUCUGUUUGACGAUGCCUCCGAGCAUUCUUUACGACCGCGCUCGAGUAACCCUUCUCGGACGGUGAUCGUAAACGAAGAAUUAUGCAUCUGUUACGCGGGCUGACCUUCCUUCUCUCCGACGUCGCGGUAAAGUCGUCCUUUGGGUGCUAUAUAACGGAUUGCUAAUACCGUGCUCGUGCCGAGAUACACACGUGCGUCUAAAAAUGAUAUCGGUUUGAAGCUCCACCGGAUAUUCGUUCGAACGUAAUAUACAUUAUAUAAAUACGCACAUACACACACACACACAUAAUGCUUGCGCGCGUAUCGUCGAGUCUGUAGGAAACUGUUAGUCUUAGCGACCGUAUGAACGCGAUAACUAUGUUAGCAGCGUCUUGCGCACACGCACUGAGCACGUGGAGUACAAGCGAGUAGUACGAAUAGUAUUACCGGUACCGUUAACAACUCGCGAUAUCUAGUUGCCCAGGGAGCGCAUGCGGUGUGUGUGUGUGUGUGCGUGCGUGUGUGUGUGUGUGUACCAGUGUGUGGGAGCGCGAGUGACGCCAUCCCCCGUCUUUUUCGCGUGAGAACGAAACUCCGAUACAAUGAUAUCGGAUAAUCGAACUUUCGGUCACGCCGUCCUACGCGGGCGACUCGGCUCUAAGUAUGUUUGAACAUGAUUCAAGAAAGAAGGAAAGCGGGAGAGACUACUAUCUCUCAGUGGGAGAAGCGCAAGAAGUUAUAUUCGGUUUCUAGAGGAAGUCACCCCCGACUCCUCCCGAUUACAGGUCCGUCCGUUUCGCUCGCGCUCGCGCCGCACUUUGUUUCCUCCAUCCCGCUUCUUAGCGAGCCUAAAUAUAGGCGCGUACCCUUUCAGUUUUAUUUUAAAUAUGAAAGAUGCGACCGCCGCACCGCGCCGGUAAGGGACGGCCGCCGGAACUUACGUCCCGGAGCGAUCGAAGAGUAGAAAUAAUAUUACUCGCGCCGAGCAUCGCGCUCUCUGCGCGCAGCGGCGGUAAAAAUAUUUGAAAUUUUACGUAACCAGGUUAUAUAUACAUACAUAUAUACGUCGAGCGAUACGCGCUGAGCUUAAAAUCGAAAAUACUCUUAUCGCAACUCGGAGUGCCAUUUUUAUCACGCUUCGACAGCGUGGAAAGCUCGUCUCAGAAAUCGAUAGCGCGUACACUAUCCAUUUUAUUAUCCACUCGAGCGUCUUGGCACAUUUUCCCGUGGCAAUCCGAUCUAUAUGUUUUCUUGGAUUUCGAAGAUAAAUUUAUCUCCACGAAGAUUUCGCCAAAUAUGUGCACUGCACAUAUAUAUAUAUAUAUGUGUCUGUGUGUGUGUGUGUGUGUGUGUGUGUGUGUGUGUCUGUCUGUGUAAAAAAUGCAUUUCCUAGGCUACGUUUUACGGACCGUUAUCCGGAGCCGGACAUUUUCGCACGGGUUUAGUCGAGCGAGAACGUCGCGUGUGCGAGAAAAUAAAACCCACCGACUACCGUAUUCGCGUGCGCGGAGCGACAGCCAGAAGAGGAGCUUUCCCGACGAGUGCGCACGAAAAUUUCAAGAGAGAGAGAGAGGGGGGGGGAAGAAAGAGAGAAACUCUCGUUGGUUGACACGCUACGCGACGUGUGAAAUUUGGCCGAUUAUGGUCAGAACAACGCGCAAAGAAAUCGGGAUUACGACGAAACACUGUUGCGAAAAAGCGAUAAUAUAAAUCGAAGGUCUCGUCCGGCCAAACUGGAAAUUAACGAUACGUCAAGUAAUUGUUCCGUCUCUCUUGCGCGCAGAAACCCCCCCCUCCUCCAUUCGAGUACGCAAAUUUCACCGACGUCCUCUGAGAAUUUGACAAUUCUCUGGCGACACGCUGAAACGAGGCAAUCUUAAAAAAAUCGUCAACGGCGCGGGGAAGAGGGCCCCUUUAUUUUUUCGUUCGCACCAGACCAGGUGGGACUGUUUUGUUCACCUACAUCGAGCAAAUUUCACACUGCACGUCGGCUUAGAAAUCCACUCGUGGCUUCCAUGUACAUAUCGGGUAUUGGGUCUCUCGCUAUUCACUGCACAUCGGCCGGCGGGUAAGGGAGGGGGGGAGACUGCCAUCAGCACAGUGUCAUUAGGGAAUGAGAAAAGCGGAGAUAAUAAAAGGAAUACGGGAGAAGGAGAGAGGAGUCUCUCUCUCUCUCUCUUUCGCUCGCUCUCUCGCUCGCUCGCUGGCUUUCAUGCUCUCGCUCGCGUGCGCGCGACUUAUUAUCCUACGUGCGCAGCGCCGAUAGUAUGUCGACGCGAACUUCUUAUUAGAGUGUGACGCGUUCGGCGCGAAGUGAACUUGAACGCGCGACCGGCGUAAAUUGAAGUUAAUGUCCGGGCUGGCGUGCGCAAGUGAGCGAGCGAGCGAUCGCAAGACCGUACGUUUCGCCUAGUAACCCGGUCCUUUUCGCGAGUGCCACUUUUCGGAUCUUGGCCGGCCGCCGCGCCGCGCAAAAAGUCCGCGCGCGCGACGCGUCCUUUUCGUGCGCUCUCGCGGUCGCUUUCGCGCUGGCUGGCGCUCGCUCGCUCGCUCCCAUCGUCGCUUCCUUCUCGCCGCCGGGGAGGGCCAUCACAUUUGACCUUUGCCACCGUCGGAUUCGUGCGCCUAGACCAGUCUCACAGUCUCGGCCCCGCGCGAGUCUAGGCAAAUUGAGGAUCUCGCGCCGAGUGUCCGCACUCUCGUGUACGUACCGGCUGCCUGCCUGCCUGCCUGCCUGCCCCACGCCUCGCGUUCGUGCACGCGCGAGAACUCAGUAGGACGACAGGAGCGAACAGAAGACGAAAUCGGAGCUUUGUGUGAAGUCGGAGCUCGCGUCUCUCGGCGAGCCGCCGAGUAAUCCGACCGGCGCGCCGCGGCGGCGUUAUCGCGCGAGAAUCGAACGACCGCGCGAGUGGUGAUUUCGUCGAGAGACGAUCUGUCGGAUUCCGCCCUCCGCCGAAGGGAGGACUCUUCCUCGGGAGAGAGACAGAGAGAGAGAGAGAGAGAGAGAGAGAGAGAGAGCGACGUCACGUCCUGAAAUCGCGCGCAGAGCGAAGAUGCACUCGCGAGCCGAGUUUGUCAGUUGCUACGCCGCGCGCCAGUGAAACGAUAUUUUUUUCCCCGCGAACGUAAACGUUGCCGUGCAUCAUUCUCCCCCGCGCUAGAUAGCUACACGCGAAAUCUCGCGAGCUGUUGGGUCCCGAUGGAGGGUCCUUGAGGAGAGAAACCACGUUCGCGCGCCCCGCCGUUGUUCCGCCGCGCCGCCGCGAGUACUCCCUAUCUGGCCGUUGCACGGGCUAUAUUUUUUCAACAACACAGGGCGAUAAAGAGGGACAAGAGAAGGGAAAGAGAAUAGGACAGCAGCCCGUAUGCGCGCGCGCGUGCAAAAUUAAAACUGGAACGCGCGCGCGUGCGCGCACUCGUUUGAAACUCUGUCGGCGUUAUUGACGCGAAAUCCCUAUCGCGCGACAUUAACAUACGUGAAAGUACAGCCGGCACGGACAUGCCCGUGUUGCGCGCGCGCGCGCGCGUGCUGUUAUUUUUCUAUUUACGGUUCGACGUAUCUAACCGUGUCAAAGGUAUAUAAAUGCGCAAGUUGCGCAAUUAAUAUUGCGCGAGGCAUCGCGCGCGCGCGCGCGCUCCACAUCUUAUCCCACUAUGUUUUAGAUGCAUUUAUUCUCCCCUCCCCGUUUCUCUUUCUCUCUCUCUCUCGCCUCGCGUUCUCUUUUACGCUUUUAUUUCCAUGUUAUCUCGUCGUCGGGCAAGGUACAAUUGGAGCGCGACAAAAUCUCAAAGAACGCGACGAGACGCGUUCCUCGCAGACGCCGCUUCUCUCGCGGCGGCCUUUGAGUCCGUCCGCGGAAUUCGCCGCGAAUCGAGGAUGGUAAACGUCGAAUUUUCCGGCCCACGGAGUUUCAGCCGAUUAUCGGGGGAGCAGCCCGGAUCGACCGCGUGUCUAAGAUCGUCGAUUGAAUAUCGCUCCUCGGCGCCGCCGUAAAUCGAUCCGGCUUCUUUCGCGCGUUAAGUGGAUCCGCCGCCGUCACGGGUGCAAUGACCCCUUCGGCUGCGCUGCGCAAGUUUUAACGUAGAUUCAGAAAUAUACGCAGAUGUACGUGUGUGUGUGUGUGUGUGUGUGUGUGUGUGUGUGUGUGAUAUGUAUAUAUACAUGGGACUAUACGGUGAUCGCGCGCGACCGGCGUGAAUUGACCUGUAUUUCCGAACGGCAAUACGGGGCGGCGGACGACGAGCGUAACAAUGUGUAUGCGCGCCGUUGAAAUCGCCGGUGGGAGGCCACCGCUGCCCCACCUUUCAUUCGACUUUGACAGUUCCAUUAUGGUAUCGAAGCUAACGGCAAACAGAACGGGCGUAGUUGACGAGCGCGAAUCAACGUGUGCGUCGGUCCGCCGAGGUCCGUUGGAUACCGCGAGCGUAUCUCCCGUAACGUGAUUCCUUCGGCAGCGCCG